UACCACAACGACGGAAUUUUGAAUCGUCUCUCUCCUCUCUCUCUGUCUCUCCCUUCCUCCCUCUUUCCCUUCCCCAUCGUCUCUGCCUCUCUAACCGUUAUGCCUUGCCCUCCCCCAUACUAUCUCUAUUGCCUAAAAAACACAGGAGAGUACACUAUUCUCUUUCGCCUUACCAUUCUCUCACGCCUUGCCGUCCCUCUCUCUCAAGACCUCUAUUGGGGAAAAACCAAUUUUUUGUUUGAAGAUUGAAUGGAGGAUUGCCUCUUUGAGAACCCAAUAUUAGAUUUAAGUUCAAAGCUACUCUCAAGAUACUGAUUUUGAAUAAGGUACGUAAGUGAAAUGCCACAUGGAAACUCCUCCAAAUGAAACCACGGUUGUAGAGAGCGUAGCAUCAGUUACAGAAAAUCCAAACAGUUUCUAGAUCCAUACCAUGGGGAAAUAUUUUCAAUUCAUGAUGAUGCUUAUGAAUUUUUACAAGUGUUUUGCCAAGUCAUGGGAUUUUGGGUGCGUCCUCAACGAACUAUUGGAAAAGAAGGUGAUGGGAAUGAAACUACUAGAAGAUAUUAUGUUUGCCAUAGGGAGGGCCAUUUAACAAACAAAUACUUGUCUGAAAUUAAAAGAGAAAGAGAUCGAUCAUCAAGGAGAUGCAAUUGUGGAGUACAAUUGGGGCGCGAAAUGCUGCUUUACAUACGGGUUUUUUGGGCAUUUACAUGUGACAACUUUGUAUAUAUAAUUUUAGAAUGGUACAUAAUGAUUAUUGUCCUAUCAAUUUUGUUAAGAAGUUAUUAUAAGAUUGAAUUUGGAUGUGAGAAGUUAUUGUAAGGUUGAAUGUGGAUGCAAUAUUGAUGUUGUACAUCAAAUGUAACAUCAACGAGCUAUGUUGAGGACUAUCUAUGAUGCUGUUUUGUCAUAUCAACAACUUCAUCAUGAAAUUCAUUCA